GGAGAGUUAGCUUAAAUGGUAAAGCAUUAUAAGAUUAUAAGUUAGGGGUUCGAUUCCUUUACUCUCCG
rnacentral:tRNA from 1 species